AUCCUGGCUCAGAUUGAACGCUGGCGGCAGGCCUAACACAUGCAAGUCGAGCGAGAAAGGUCUUCGGACUGAGUACAGCGGCGGACGGGUGAGUAAUGCGCAGGAAUCUACCUGGUAGUGGGGGAUAACUCGGGGAAACUCGAACUAAUACCGCAUACCGCCCUACGGGGGAAAGCGGGGGACCUUCGGGCCUCGCGCUAUCAGAUGAGCCUGCGUAGGAUUAGCUUGUUGGUGAGGUAAAGGCUCACCAAGGCGACGAUCCUUAGCUGGUCUGAGAGGAUGAUCAGCCACACUGGAACUGAGACACGGUCCAGACUCCUACGGGAGGCAGCAGUGGGGAAUAUUGCGCAAUGGGCGAAAGCCUGACGCAGCCAUGCCGCGUGUGUGAAGAAGGCCCUUGGGUUGUAAAGCACUUUCAAUUGGGAAGAAAGGUUGCGUGUUAAUAGCACGUAGCUGUGACGUUACCUUUAGAAGAAGCACCGGCUAACUCCGUG
rnacentral:rRNA from 1 species